GAGAAGAAAGGACAGCCAGAAACUACCCAGU
rnacentral:piRNA from 1 species